rnacentral:rRNA from 1 species
GGAAUAUUGCACAAUGGGGGAAACCCUGAUGCAGCGACGCCGCGUGAGUGAUGAAGUAUUUCGGUACGUAAAACUCUAUCAGCAGGGAAGAUAAUGACGGUACCUGACUAAGAAGCCCCGGCUAACUACGUGCCAGCAGCCGCGGUAAUACGUAGGGGGCAAGCGUUAUCCGGAUUUACUGGGUGUAAAGGGAGUGUAGGUGGUCUGGCAAGUCAGAUUUGAAAGCCCGCGGCUCAACUGCGGGACUGCAUUUGAAACUGUCAGACUGGAGUGCAGGAGAGGAAAGUGGAAUUCCUAGUGUAGCGGUGAAAUGCGUAGAUAUUAGGAAGAACACCAGUGGCGAAGGCGGCUUUCUGGACUGUAACUGACACUGAGGCUCGAAAGCGUGGGGAGCAAACA